CAGGAGGCAAGCAGGGGUCAGUCACCAGAGCGGGUAGUCAGACGAGCCAGGAUCAGGAGCACGGAGGUCAGCGGAGUCAGGAACAAGGCCAGAGUCAGGAACCAGGAGCAAACAGGAAACACAGGAACAAGGAGACUUCUGGGGGACAGGAAACCACGCAAGGGCAAGGAGGUUCUGGGAUUAGCUGCUUAAAUAGGCUGAACUGAUUAGCAGCAGGGUUGAUUAUUAUUCUCA